AGGGCUGAAGACAAUCUAGCUACAGCAUGUGUCACCCUGUUGGCUGCCAGGGUUGAGUCCACUGCUCUUGUUGGUUAGCAGGACAUUCUCUUCCUUCCUCACUGCUCUAUGUGCCUCUGGAAGCUGUGUGCUCCUUCCAAGAGGAUGACCUUCUGGAAUAGAGACAAACCUGUCUUUAGUGGAGGGUAUAAGAGUAGCUAUGAGUGCCUGAUGGACCCUCCAAAUAAGUUCUAUAAAUAAAUAUCAUAUUUUAAACUUCAUAAAAUUUUCCAGGAAAUUAAACAUCCUUGAAAUAAAUGACUUGACAGAAAUGUUC
ensembl:misc_RNA 7SK 7SK RNA